ensembl:misc_RNA
UGCUCAACACAGCUGUGCUGCCAGUUGCAAGGAGCCUCAUUCUAGAUCUUUCCUGAGCCUGAUGGAUUUACAGUGAUGUCCAAAUCUCCUGGGGAA